AGACAUUGAGAGUGCGGGUAUCAACGGCGACUAUUCUGUAGCCAGUAUGUCAGGCACAUCGAUGGCUUGCCCUCACGUUACUGGUGCUGCUGCAUUGUAUCUCGGCAUGAAUCCAAACUCUCAGAGUGUAGAGAGUGAUUUGCUUGCAAGUGCGACCACAAAUAAACUAACCAACGUCUCAGGAUCUCCCAAUAAACUUCUGUACAUUGGAGACUUGUAAAUCAACAUGAUGACGUUAACGACAUACGAAGUGUUUUAAGCCGAAUCACAAACGAUUUACUCGGAGUGGACAUCGAAGACCAGAUUUACUGAAUCAAAACAAACAAUUGAUUUUAAACAUUAUGUUUCUUAAAAGCUACCCUCGGUUCUCCCGUCCUGAAAGCUGACCCAACAAUACAGUAUACCUACUUAUUUUAUCAAAUUAUAAAAACACAAAAAACACAAAAACACACAUUGACCUACUGCUAUGAGCAGACAUUCUUCUUCUUUAUUAAUCUUUCUUACAAGCAGUGGACACUAUUGGUAAUUACUCAAAAUAAUUUUUAGCAUAAACUAAU